rnacentral:rRNA from 1 species
GACAGAGGGGGCAAGCGUUGCUCGGAAUUACUGGGCGUAAAGGGCGCGUAGGCGGCGCGGUAAGUCACUUGUGAAAUCUCUGAGCUUAACUCAGAACGGCCAAGUGAUACUGCAGUGCUAGAGUGUGGAAGGGGCAAUCGGAAUUCUUGGUGUAGCGGUGAAAUGCGUAGAUAUCGUGAGGAACACCAGAGGCGAAGGCGGCUACCUGGACAAUUGCUGACACUCAGGCACGAAAGCGUGGGGAGCAAAAGGG